UACGUAGGGGGCAAGCGUUGUCCGGAUUUAUUGGGCGUAAGAGCUCGUAGGCGGUUUGGUAAGUCUGGUGUGAAAUCUCCACGCUCAACGUGGAGGGGCCACCCGAUACUGCCAUGACUGGAGUCCGGUAGAGGAGUGUGGAAUUCCCGGUGUAGCGGUGAAAUGCGCAGAUAUCAGGAGGAACACCGGUGGCGAAGGCGGUUCUCUGGGCCUUACCUGACGCUGAGGAGCGAAAGCGUGGGGAGCGAACAGG
rnacentral:rRNA from 1 species